ACUGGGCUGCAGUUCUAGGUAUUCACAGUCCCUGCUUUCGCUUGUGUCAUACAUUCUCCUCUUGCUGGCUGGGGACUUCAGGAACAUGGCUUCAAACACAGAACCAGAGCAAGUUAUAUUUUGAUCUCUUUAAAGCUUAGGGCAGAUGGACGAAAGACCCAUAUACCGUACCUUUCUGUCUUCGGGGUCAGAGUGUGUUCCAGAGUCGCCAAGGCUUGUACCACUGCAGGCACUGACUGUGCUCAUGCGACCUGACGACGACGAUGAACCUGUAACCAACCACAAUAAAGGAAGAUGCAAAUUUCACGAGGCUGGGUCCCACUAUGUUAAAUACUUUAUAAUGAACAUACAAAGACAAGUAAAAAUAAAUAAUUUAAAAUUA